rnacentral:rRNA from 1 species
CUUCCCAUUCCGAACAGAGAAGUUAAACCUUAUCACGCCGAUGGUACUGCGAAAGCGGAAGAGUAGGUAAUCGCCGCUU